CAUCUAUUUUUAAGACAUCGUUCGAUUUUAACCAUUCAUUUUAUGCCCGCUUGAUGGAUUUUAUUAUGAUUUCAAAAAAUUACGAAAUUUAUUUUCUAGAAGUUUCAAAUACUCUAGAUCAUAUUUAACGAAGUGGAUCGUCGAUUUGGAAGCUCCAUAAUCGAAAACAACUUAUGAGUACGAAGGGCCCAAUACUCAUAAUAGUAUAGUA
rnacentral:lncRNA from 1 species